rnacentral:rRNA from 1 species
AGCUCCAAUAGCGUAUAUUAAAGUUGUUGCAGUUAAAAAGCUCGUAGUUGUUGGGGUUGGGAAAUUUGAAGAAUCUUCACUGGUCUUCAGACUUCCUAAAAGCUGUUUCAAUCGGCUUUGUGUUACUUUGAGAAAAUUUGAGUGUUCAUCUCGGGCAAAUUGCUUACAUAAUGUACCAUGGAAUAACUCUGUGGCCCUAAUUCUGUCUUUUGGCUUACAUUAUUGGGGUUCGUGGUUGAAAGGAAUAGUUGGGGGCAUUCGUACUGAACAGUUAGAGGUGAAAUUCUUAGAUUUGUUCAAGACGAACCAGUGCGAAAGCAUCUGCCAAGGAUGUUUUCAUUA